GCAUAACGAACUGACAAAGGGAACUCAGUAGUAUGAAAGGAGACAAAAACACCCUGCGUGACAGAAGAACAAUGAAAGUAUCCUCUGAUGGCCACAAGGACCAUUGCAUCUGAUAGCAGACUGGGCCAUGUGGAGAGUGGUAUUUAUCCAGAAGGAGACCAUCUAUGAUGACUUUCUGCAGUCUUUAGCAGACAAGGUACAUGAAGAAUUGAGAACCCUGGAAUCACUUCAGUUCUGUUUCUCACUGGAAACAACUCCUCUUGGCACACUCAAUGCUUCACUUUUACAACACAGCUCUUUUGUGGCUAGUGGUCGAAUGGGUGUCACUAUCAGGGGCCAGAGCCAAACAAAUCAUGAUUCUGCAUCUGUGUUUAUAAUUUUUGGAAGAGACAUAUGUGCACUGUAUGUGAAGAUGAUGUAAUCUGGCAUGGUAAACCCACUCUUAUGGAAGAAAAAAGAGGAAGACAAAAAAAUAGCUGUUGGAUGUUGACACAUGUUGACACAUGCUGGCCUGUGCCAUUCCCACCAAAAAUAUUGUAUGAGAGCAGGUUCUUUUAAUCAAAACUCACUGUCUUUCUUUUUAUGCCAUUACUAUUGUGCCCCCUAUUUAAUUACUGGAGGACUGCACAAGCACAGAUGUCAAAUCCCAUAACAGCUAAAAAGGAAAGUUUUAAAAUCACUUUUGCUAAGGCAUAAAGAAUCACGUGUGCCAAGUACGGGACUAUCAGCCUAUUUCUUAAGCAAUCAUAGCUGACUCUGUUUCUUGCUACAGUGUAGUCUGUCUUCAAAUGUUAUUACAUAUCUGCCAUUCAUUGCUCCCUGUAAUGCAAAUGUGCUUUGCAUGUAUCCUAACACUUGAUCAUAAUGAAAGUGUGUCUCAGAUUUUUAUGAGCAUCUUGAGGGCAUGGAUGUGAAGGACCAGCCAGCCUAACAAUGGUACUCAUUUCCAACACAGCCCUAGUGUUGGAUCUUUGCCUGGAAGAUAUAUGCAAAGAGUAUUUUUUUUUUUUAAUUGAGUAUAUUUAAGAAAACCAAAGUUAAUUUAAAGAUAGAGAAAAUAGGAAAUUGAAAUUCUACAGUUCCUGGAGCAGUCUUCUGUUGGCUGUGUUGUGCACUGAAAGCCUAUCCUAGUCUCAUCUCUCUUGUUCAUUGUGUUUGUUUGUUUUUUAAAGAAUGCCAUAAAAAAGACAGGAGACAAUGCAGUGCUUUAAAGGCCCUAGGCUUUAAAUUGCCUCUUUUUAGAAGUUACAAUGCACCCCGGCUUGCAAACAGGAUUAGUUACUCCAGGCUCAAUGCAGAGGAGGAUUUGUGUCAGUUUUCCAUUUGUGAGUUUGCAUGUCAACCCAUAAAGUGCACUAGCAUCACCCAGGGCUCUGCACCCUCCAGCCAAUCCCAUGAGCUUUCUGCAGCUCUCUUUGGCAUAUCUCCAGGAAAACAGUCAACAGGACUUAACAGGACUGCCUUUCUCCUGCCUCAGAAUAAUACAGCAAGUAACAAUGCUACCAGCACUGCUUUACUUGGACCAGCAGGAGAAAAGAUAUUACUCAAAUGACACAGGCCCGCCACAGUGCUGGAUAACUGACCACAGAGGUUGUACCAUAUGCAUCCUUAAGCUAGAUAGGCUGAUCCUAGCACAGAGGUUUGUGUUUAACACUCUUUGCUAUUUAUGGAGAAGUGGCAGAAGAAGAGAAGAAUGAUAUUUUUCAGGCACAUGGAUGAUGAUAAAUUAAUAACUUUGUAAUUUCUGUGGCUUACAUCAUGCUAGAAGAAGCAAGAUAGUGAAAAUUUGCUUUUCUCCCUACAUAUAGCAAGAAUCAAGACAGUGGAGCACAAAAGCUCUGUACCUGAAACAUAUGUGUUAUCCUUAGAACCUGCUGUAGGCUGGGAAGCUGCCCAGGUCACUGAGAGUAAUGUACCUGUGAAAAAUGUUGGACGUCAAUAUGUGUGGCUUGGGCUAUGUAUUUAACUUUUAAGCAGAUAAUGUUAGCUACCCUUUUCUAAAUGUUCAUUCCAUAUGUUUCAAUUGUGAGUCAAGUGUAAGGGCAAUGUCUUCACAUCCUUUUUCAGGCCAUUGUAAGGUGCAUUUCCUCGAAUUAGCUAAGUCUUUACACUUUAUUUUUGGGCAUCAUAGAAGAAGACAGUCUACCAUAAGUUGUCUUCUCUCUGCUCCCAGUGGCACACCAUUUUGAAAUAUCUGCAAAAAAUGUCGAAGUCACACAAUGUGUGUGCUUGGGCUGCAGAGAAAGCAGGAGAUUCACCUUGUCAGUUUUUGAAUAUUUCCGUUAGUGGUCUCACUGACAUGGAAAGCAAAACUUUCUAUGGAGAUUCAGAGGUUUGACUUACAAAUAUUUGACCAAAUACUGCAGUGCAGGGAAUUACAUUUCAGCUAGAGCCUCUCUGAAGGAGAGAUGGAAAGAAAUGAGAACUUUUAGGGCGUAAUUCACCUAUAAAUUUUAUACGACUAUUGUAAAAUGCGUUGAGAAAGGCAGAAGUGUAUAGGAAUGCUUUUCUAUGUGCUAUGUGUUUGUCUAUGCGGUUGAUUUCUCAAAUACAUUUGUCUGAGUGAUAGACU
ensembl:lncRNA